rnacentral:lncRNA from 1 species
CUACGAUAGUAGAGGGGCAUUAUGUUUUCUGGUCUGUGCUCCGUUCGUUCGUUCGUCGUUCGUCUGUGCGUCCGUUCAGGUUAAAGUUUUUGGUCAAGGUAGUUUUUGAUGAAGCUGAAGUCCAAUCAACUUGAAAAUUAGUACACUUGUUGCUUAUGAUAUGAUCUUUUUAAUUUUAAAGCCAAAUUAGACUUUUGACCCCAAUUUCACGGUCCACUGAACAUAGAAAAUAAAAGUGGGAGUUUCAGGUUAAAGUUUUUGGUCAAGGUAGUUUUUGAUGAAAUUGAAGUCCAAUCAACUUGAAACUUUACUACAUAUGUUCUCUAUAGUAUAAUCUUUCUAAUUUUAAUGCCAAAUUAGAUUAUUACCCAAUUUCACGGUCCAUGGAACAUGGAAAAGGAUAGUGUGAGUGGGGC